GAUCAUGGCUCAGAACGAACGCUGGCGGCAGGCUUAACACAUGCAAGUUGAACGGGAUUGAUUGGUAGCUUGCUAUUGAUCAUGAGAGUAGCGCACUGGUGAGUAACACGUGGGAACGUACCUUUUGGUGGGGGACAACAGUUGGAAACGACUGCUAAUACCGCAUAAGCCCUGAGGGGGAAAGAUUUAUUGCCGAAAGAUCGGCCCGCGGAAGAUUAGGUAGUAGGUGGGGUAACGGCCUACCUAGCCGACGAUCUAUAGCUGGUCUAAGAGGACGAUCAGCCACAUUGGAACUGAGACACGGUCCAGACUCCUACGGGAGGCAGCAGUGAGGAAUAUUGGGCAAUGGAGGCAACUCUGACCCAGCCAUGCCCGCGUGAGUGAUGAAGGUUUUCGGAUUGUAAAGCUCUUUCAGAUGAGAAGAUGAUGACGGUAUCAUCAGAAGAAGCACCGGCUAACUUCGUGCCAGCCGCGGC
rnacentral:rRNA from 1 species